UUUAUGGAGAGUUUGAUCCUGGCUCAGGAUGAACGCUGGCGGCGUGCCUAAUACAUGCAAGUCGAGCGAACGGACGAGAAGCUUGCUUCUCUGAUGUUAGCGGCGGACGGGUGAGUAACACGUGGAUAACCUACCUAUAAGACUGGGAUAACUUCGGGAAACCGUAGCUAAUACCGGAUAAUAUUUUGAACCGCAUGGUUCAAAAGUGAAAGACGGUCUUGCUGUCACUUAUAGAUGGAUCCGCGCUGCAUUAGCUAGUUGGUAAGGUAACGGCUUACCAAGGCAACGAUGCAUAGCCGACCUGAGAGGGUGAUCGGCCACACUGGAACUGAGACACGGUCCAGACUCCUACGGGAGGCAGCAGUAGGGAAUCUUCCGCAAUGGGCGAAAGCCUGACGGAGCAACGCCGCGUGAGUGAUGAAGGUCUUCGGAUCGUAAAACUCUGUUAUUAGGGAAGAACAUAUGUGUAAGUAACUGUGCACAUCUUGACGGUACCUAAUCAGAAAGCCACGGCUAACUACGUGCCAGCAGCCGCGGUAAUACGUAGGUGGCAAGCGUUAUCCGGAAUUAUUGGGCGUAAAGCGCGCGUAGGCGGUUUUUUAAGUCUGAUGUGAAAGCCCACGGCUCAACCGUGGAGGGUCAUUGGAAACUGGAAAACUUGAGUGCAGAAGAGGAAAGUGGAAUUCCAUGUGUAGCGGUGAAAUGCGCAGAGAUAUGGAGGAACACCAGUGGCGAAGGCGACUUUCUGGUCUGUAACUGACGCUGAUGUGCGAAAGCGUGGGGAUCAAACAGGAUUAGAUACCCUGGUAGUCCACGCCGUAAACGAUGAGUGCUAAGUGUUAGGGGGUUUCCGCCCCUUAGUGCUGCAGCUAACGCAUUAAGCACUCCGCCUGGGGAGUACGACCGCAAGGUUGAAACUCAAAGGAAUUGACGGGGACCCGCACAAGCGGUGGAGCAUGUGGUUUAAUUCGAAGCAACGCGAAGAACCUCACCAAAUCUUGACAUCCUUUGACAACUCUAGAGAUAGAGCCUUCCCCUUCGGGGGACAAAGUGACAGGUGGUGCAUGGUUGUCGUCAGCUCGUGUCGUGAGAUGUUGGGUUAAGUCCCGCAACGAGCGCAACCCUUAAGCUUAGUUGCCAUCAUUAAGUUGGGCACUCUAAGUUGACUGCCGGUGACAAACCGGAGGAAGGUGGGGAUGACGUCAAAUCAUCAUGCCCCUUAUGAUUUGGGCUACACACGUGCUACAAUGGACAAUACAAAGGGCAGCGAAACCGCGAGGUCAAGCAAAUCCCAUAAAGUUGUUCUCAGUUCGGAUUGUAGUCUGCAACUCGACUACAUGAAGCUGGAAUCGCUAGUAAUCGUAGAUCAGCAUGCUACGGUGAAUACGUUCCCGGGUCUUGUACACACCGCCCGUCACACCACGAGAGUUUGUAACACCCGAAGCCGGUGGAGUAACCUUUUAGGAGCUAGCCGUCGAAGGUGGGACAAAUGAUUGGGGUGAAGUCGUAACAAGGUAGCCGUAUCGGAAGGUGCGGCUGGAUCACCUCCUUUCU
rnacentral:rRNA from 1 species